CCAUGCAAAUAAUAUUGAUUCUCAAUAUACACCUUAUCCAUCCACUGAUCCUUCUGCGAAAGAAGCAAGUAAAUCAAAGCUGACUGAUCAUCAGCCUCAAAUGCUGGCCUCCCCUUCAAAUUUGCAGUCAAAAUUUUGCCAGCCUCCUCCCUUAUUGGCCCCUUAGGACCCAUUGGAGCCCAGGCAUCAAGCAAAUCCAAGCUCCACUUACAAUUCCUAAACAAGAAACUCCCAGUGUUCAAAGCAAUCCAUGAUUUUUGCUCGAACAACAAAUCAGGAUACCCAUGAAUCACCAAAUUAUGUUCAUCAUACUUGGAUAACGGGAUCUCAAAAACCAUAUCAGUAAACAUAGCAUCACUAUCCAUCCACCAAAUCCACUCCACUUCAGGAUGCGACAGCAUCAAUCUCCGAAUCAUGGGCAAUUUCGCCCAGUACCCAGCUAGUUCUUUGUCUAAAUGAGCCAUAUUAUAGACAAUCUCAAUCCCAUGAAUCCUACAAUAGUCGAUCUUAUUCUUUAUCGCCUUCAAUAAAUAAUGAUCUCCAAUCGGGUUAUCACAAGGGCUAGGAGGGGACCCGGUCAAGAGCAAAAUCCGAGGCUUCCCAUUAACAAAAUUAGGGAACUCGGGGUUUUGGUUAAGCCAUACCUUGCGUUCCUCGUCCCAAUUAGACAUUUUGGCGCCUAACGUAUAAGUGACGUUGGGGUUGAAAUCGGCCUCGGCUGGCUCAUCCGGAUCGGUGGGGUCUUUGUCGGAGCGGAUCUCGGCCAGAAUCCGGUUAGUCUCCUCGAUAAGAUUCUGGUUGAUAGCCUCAGCGUCAGAGUUGGUGAGGUUGCCAAUGCCGAUGGUACCACGGAGGACGAGAAUGGUGACGAAGCCACAAAGAAUAGUGAUCUUGAUGUUAUUGAAGGUCUUAUGAAUCUGCCUGCUGCGCGGCAUAGUUGCACGGCCUCCUCUGCCGUUGGCGGUUAUGGUGGGCAGGCCUCCUCCUCCGCCGCCGCUAGCUCUCUUCUGGGUAGUGAAGUUCUCUUGCCCCAUAUUAAAUUAUAGACUCAGAUGUGACAAUCAGAGAGAGAGACACACACAAUUUCUCUCUCUUCUGUUCGAGUAGUAUUUUAGCGUGUGGAUCUGGAAGGCAUUUAAUAAUAAUAAUAACAGUUAAAAGAAUUGUAUUCUCUUAGCUGUGAAAGGCUUGGAAGCGGAGGAAAAAUGUAAAACCCUAGGCGGCGGUUACAGUGGUGUUAGACGCGUUGGUAAUGGUUUUGGUAGAGGUGACUGGCAACAAUGGAAGAGUUAAAAAAUGGAGCUGUGAAC
rnacentral:misc_RNA from 1 species